GACGAACGCUGGCGGCGUGCUUAACACAUGCAAGUCGAACGGAAAGGCCCUGCUUUUGUGGGGUGCUCGAGUGGCGAACGGGUGAGUAACACGUGAGUAACCUGCCCUUGACUUUGGGAUAACUUCAGGAAACUGGGGCUAAUACCGGAUAGGAGCUCCUGCUGCAUGGUGGGGGUUGGAAAGUUUCGGCGGUUGGGGAUGGACUCGCGGCUUAUCAGCUUGUUGGUGGGGUAGUGGCUUACCAAGGCUUUGACGGGUAGCAGGCCUGGGAGGGUGACCGGCCACAUUGGGACUGAGAUACGGCCCAGACUCCUACGGGAGGCAGCAGUGGGGAAUAUUGCACAAUGGGCGGAAGCCUGAUGCAGCAACGCCGCGUGCGGGAUGACGGCCUUCGGGUUGUAAACCGCUUUCGCCUGUGACGAAGCGUGAGUGACGGUAAUGGGUAAAGAAGCACCGGCUAACUACGUG
rnacentral:rRNA from 1 species